AAGUCGUAACAAGGUCUCCGUAGGUGAACCUGCGGAGGGAUCAUUAACAGAGUUCAUGCCCCUAACGGGUAGAUCUCCCAGCCCACCGUAUGUUAUCAUUACCAUGCUUUGCUUUGGCGGGCCGUCUGGGCUCACGCUCGGGCUACCGGCCUCCGGCUGGGUAAGCCGCCCCGCCAGAGGGACCCUCAAAACCCCCUGAAUAAUUCAGUGUCGUCUGAGUACCAUAUAAUAGUUUAAAA
rnacentral:misc_RNA from 1 species